GAUGAACGCUGGCGGCGUGCCUAAUACAUGCAAGUCGAGCGAACGGACGAGAAGCUUGCUUUUCUGAUGUUAGCGGCGGACGGGUGAGUAACACGUGGCUAACCUACCUAUAAGACUGGGAUAACUUCGGGAAACCGGAGCUAAUACCGGAUAAUAUUUUGAACCGCAUGGUUCAAAAGUGAAAGACGGUCUUGCUGUCACUUAUAGAUGGAUCCGCGCUGCAUUAGCUAGUUGGUAAGGUAACGGCUUACCAAGGCAACGAUGCAUAGCCGACCUGAGAGGGUGAUCAGCCACACUGGAACUGAGACACGGUCCAGACUCCUACGGGAGGCAGCAGUAGGGAAUCUUCCGCAAUGGGCGAAAGCCUGACGGAGCAACGCCGCGUGAGUGAUGAAGGUCUUCGGAUCGUAAAACUCUGUUAUUAGGGAAGAACAUAUGUGUAAGUAACUGUGCACAUCUUGACGGUACCUAAUCAGAAAGCCACGGCUAACUACGUG
rnacentral:rRNA from 1 species